GGCGGGGGGUAUGAGGGACAAGGUAACAAACACUAGAAAUACUUCAAACAUAGAGGAAAUAAUGAAACUAAUGAAUUCACAAAUUAGACUUAUUGGACAUUAGCAUGGAGCUAUAUUCCUUCAGUAUUUUUAAGUAAUCCAAGGUUACAGGC